UCCGAGCUGACCGGGUAAUGAGGGAAACGUUUCGGAACGGACGCUAAUACCGCAUACGUCCUACGGGAGAAAGCAGGGGACCUUCGGGCCUUGCGCUAUCAGAUGAGCCUAGGUCGGAUUAGCUAGUUGGUGAGGUAAUGGCUCACCAAGGCUACGAUCCGUAACUGGUCUGAGAGGAUGAUCAGUCACACUGGAACUGAGACACGGUCCAGACUCCUACGGGAGGCAGCAGUGGGGAAUAUUGGACAAUGGGCGAAAGCCUGAUCCAGCCAUGCCGCGUGUGUGAAGAAGGUCUUCGGAUUGUAAAGCACUUUAAGUUGGGAGGAAGGGCAUUAACCUAAUACGUUAGUGUUUUGACGUUACCGACAGAAUAAGCACCGGCUAACUCUGUGCCAGCAGCCGCGGUAAUACAGAGGGUGCAAGCGUUAAUCGGAAUUACUGGGCGUAAAGCGCGCGUAGGUGGUUUGUUAAGUUGAAUGUGAAAUCCCCGGGCUCAACCUGGGAACUGCAUCCAAAACUGGCAAGCUAGGGUAUGGUAGAGGGUAGUGGAAUUUCCUGUGUAGCGGUGAAAUGCGUAGAUAUAGGAAGGAACACCAGUGGCGAAGGCGACUACCUGGACUGAUACUGACACUGAGGUGCGAAAGCGUGGGGAGCAAACAGGAUUAGAUACCCUGGUAGUCCACGCCGUAAACGAUGUCAACUAGCCGUUGGGAGUCUUGAACUCUUAGUGGCGCAGCUAACGCAUUUAAGUUGACCGCCUGGGGAGUACGGCCGCAAGGGUUAAAACUCAAUUGAAUUUGACGGGGGCCCCGCCACAAGCGGUGGGAGCAUGGUGGUUUUAUUUCGAAGCAACGCGGAGAAACCUUUACUCAGGCCCUUGAAAAUCCAAUUGAAACUUUUCUAGAAGAAUAAGAUCGGGUGGCCUUUCGGGCAACAUUGAGAACAGGUGGCUGCAUUGGCUUGUCCGAUCAGCUCCGUGUUCGUGAGAUGUUGGUUAAUUCCCGGUUAACCGAGGCGCACCUUUGUCCUUUAGAUACCAAGCAACUGUUAUUGUGGGGGCACACUCUAAUGGAGAACUGGCCGGGUGACAAACCGGUAAUGAAGGGUGGGAAUCGAACUCCAGGUCUAUCAUAUGGCCCUUAUACGCGAUG
rnacentral:rRNA from 1 species